CCUGAUGCAGCGACGCCGCGUGAGGGAUGAAGGCCUUCGGGUUGUAAACCUCUUUCGACAGGGACGAAGCGCAAGUGACGGUACCUGUAGAAGAAGCGCCGGCCAACUACGUGCCAGCAGCCGCGGUAAGACGUAGGGCGCGAGCGUUGUCCGGAUUUAUUGGGCGUAAAGAGCUCGUAGGCGGCUUGUUGCGUCAGCUGUGAAAACCCGCAGCUCAACUGUGGGCUUGCAGCUGAUACGGGCAGGCUUGAGUUCGGUAGGGGAGACUGGAAUUCCUGGUGUAGCGGUGAAAUGCGCAGAUAUCAGGAGGAACACCGGUGGCGAAGGCGGGUCUCUGGGCCGAUACUGACGCUGAGGAGCGAAAGCGUGGGGAGCGAACAGGAUUAGAUACCCUGGUAGUCCACGCUGUAAACGUUGGGCGCUAGGUGUGGGGGGCCUCUCCGGUUCUCUGUGCCGCAGCUAACGCAUUAAGCGCCCCGCCUGGGGAGUACGGCCGCAAGGCUAAAACUCAAAGGAAUUGACGGGGGCCCGCACAAGCGGCGGAGCAUGCGGAUUAAUUCGAUGCAACGCGAAGAACCUUACCUGGGUUUGACAUGUGCGCUAAAGCCGUGGAGACACGGUGUCCUUCGGG
rnacentral:rRNA from 2 species